CCACUAGGGACAAUGAAGCCUCCUCGUCUUCGGCUCCAGCCACUGGAGCACCACAUGUAAGAGGACGACGACCACCAUGCACGCCCCAUAAGCUCCACCGACACAAUCCUGUCUGCCGGCAGCGCCAUCAGACAAGGCAUGUGAUCGCCCAGGGAGCCAUAGGAGUCUCUCAACGGAGCUACCAGAAGGAGGGAGAGAAGGAAGUGAUAAGAAUGAUCCAUUUAUCCAGGCCAAGUACAAUAAUGAAGCACCAUGCAGUACCAGCGUUCGGCGAGGAGGACCCGAUCGCGCAGAGGAUACGAGGCCGGGCAAUGCGACGUACCGGCGCCAGCAGGCAAAGCGACCCGAGACCGAGAGGAGCGG